rnacentral:lncRNA from 1 species
CAGCCUUAUCCCUACUUUGUGCAGGUAGAGAGGCUGUUUUCGGUCUAUCUCUCAAGAAACAGCAGAGAAAAUAUAAGUUUUCAGAACUAUAUAAUUUGAGUUCCAGUAUUCUUUUGUUUCUUAACCGUUUAAUAGUGAGAUAAGAGUCAUGCAAUGAUUGAAUUGAAUAAUAUGCAUGAAUACUUAUUUUUCCAGUGAACUUCUGUUACAGUGAAUUCGGAACCUUAUACAUUAUAUAAGAACUUGUCAUCGAUCAAUAUUACAUGGCGUGAUUAUUAACCCAAAAAAGAAAAGAAUUUAUCUACCCAAUAAGUUCAUGUCUGACCACUUAACUAAUGGCAUCAAAGAUUUUGUUUUUCCCAGCUUUAUAACUUCUUCUGUUAUCCAAUUGUUACAUCUUGAAUUCUACAGGAUUUCUGCUGCAUAAUACCUAUCAUUUCUUCGACGUUCAGCCUCCCUUCAGUUUGUUAAUUUAAAGGUGACGGACGCUAUCAGUAUGUUUGAACAAUGAUGAAGUUGUUGAGUUUCAGAAU